AUUAAUAAAACAAUGAACUUAUAAUAAAAUGAACUGACAUAGCGACUUCGGUUGCUAUUCUUUUGAAUUUAUAUAAAAAACCACAUAAGUAAAUUUAUUGGUUGAUAUUAAACU
rnacentral:misc_RNA from 1 species